GUCAGCAGAUUUGGCUGAGCAGAUAUCACUUCCUGAAGUAGGCAGAGACCAUGCGGACACUGGGUCCUCACAGGGAGUUCCUGCAGACGCUCAGGUGGCCCUGGCCUCCCCAGGGAAUACAGUUUUUCAGAGCCCAGGAGACUUUUAAGGGUGGUGAAAACAGAAACGAAAACUCGGUGUCAUGUGAUCGGAACUCAGCUAAGGUUACAUAAUUGGGAGACUCACUGGAAAGCUGACGAUAUCCUUGGGACUAACAGAUCAUCUCCCAGCAUGGGAAAAUGAGGAACCUGAGAAAACAAAGGUUUCUGCUGCUUUAACAGCCAAAUCACUCAAGACUCUUGGAGCAAGACAUAGAACAAUCUACUUAAAGCUAUAAGAUCCAGGACAGCUAAAUGGCUUUAGAUUUCAGUGAGUAUCAUCCUGAGAGACCUUGCAUGUGACAGGAAUAAGUUGAAUUUGCAUUUGAAAAUAGAGCAGAGCAAAGCAACACUCCCUUUCAAGGGAAAUGAGUAGCAAAAUAGAAAAGAAAGAGAAAGACUUUAUGCGUAUUCCCUGGGAAAAACACAGGUGGCUUAAGGAGCCCACAGAGACACGCCCUUCUUCACAGCCUGAUACAUCUUAAGACAGAACAGGCCUCUUAUGUCUCAGAAUCCAUGCAGUAUACUAACUUGCUUCUUUAAUCUCCCUCAGAGUGGCCUUCUGUGGGAUUCCCUCAGCACAUUUUAGCAGUACACCUGUCUCAUGUCAACAUUCAUCUAUACAUAGUAUAAGUUUAAAAGUAAAUAGCAAAAAGCUACCAGGAAAAAAAAAAAAUAACCAAAGCCACAUGGAAAGGAUCCAAUGCCCAGCAAGCAAAUAGCAGAGAGGCUGGGGGAGGGAGGGGAUUGAAGGAUCGAUGAUUCAAAAGAAAAAGCACAAAUCAGAAUUUUAAAAAGAAGAAUGCAAUGAGUUCUCUGCAAUGCGGGAGCCAUGUCUCUACCCUGGAGGUGAGGGCCUGUUAAUGGCUGACUGGGUUCCUAUGUUAGUUAAUAGGCAAGGAGAAAGAAGAGCAUGUCCUAAGAUCUCUGUCAUAUUGAGAAACAUCCCAAUGAUGGCUACUGCAUCGAUUUCCUUAGAAGCUUUGCCUUGCAGCUGCCUCUGGACCACACUUAGAGCAAAGCCCACCUGUAUCAGGAGGAACUAAUACAUUAACUGUUUACCCCACCACUCGCUCGGAAAAUGCACAGGUGUAUAAAACAUCGAUAAAGAUAGAACUGGGGUUUAAUGGUACUUUCAAGACUUUCUCAGAUGGAAACGUUUGAAAUAUUAAGGAAAUCCUACUUUCUUUAAAGGCUGUAGUUGAAUCUAGACUGUGGGCUUGUACCCUGACUUUUGUAUUUUACUUGUUUGCCCGCUGUCUUGAGCGACACUUCAUAGCAAGAGACAGCAGCAAGAGCCUGAAAGAAAAGGAGCAUGCCAGGGGCUCAGGAGACCCUGCACCCCUAAACGGACUGGGGGCGGGGAGCCACAAACCAAGCAACACAUCUGCUUGGAGAAUCACAAAGCCGGGGUCACUGCCACUAAACCAGUAGAGCACUGCGAUGAACGCAGCCGCCGAUAUGGCUAUUCUACCUUGACUUUUGAAUGUCAAAAAUAAUAUGGACAGAAUUGACUAAGCAGUCUCCAAGGUACUGCCUUUAAAAUUUUUAACUUUAUGGCCAUUAAAUAUUGAACAGAUAAUUGGAUUUAUCCCCUUCAGUGCUUUAUGGAUGUACAAAGUACCUACCUUCUCCUGUUUUAUUCAAAUUAAUGGCAUUCUUUUAAAGUGCCUACCUGAGUGCAUACUACAGCCAGCUCAGGACAAGAAGGUUUCACCCUCUGCUUACCAACUCUUUCCUCUAUUUCCCAUGAGAGGGCAAAAACCACACUGGAGCCCACACUAGCAGAUAAGGGGCAAAUUCAUUCAGAGUCACCCUUAAACCUGAAAUCACUCCCCUCCCUGCCUCAAACUCCAGUUCCCAGUGUGAUCUGGCCAUCAAUUAGCUUAUUCGAGAAAACCACAAUUAGACUGCAUUUAGAAUGGUGUUAACUACACGAUUUAGAAAUGCCCUCCACCACUGGGCAGCUCACUGCUGCAUCUUCAAAUUGAGCCCAGAGAACACAAGCGUUCCAGUGCACCUCCAGAAGAUUAGCCAAAUGCAAGCUGGGACUGUGGGUUGGACAGGGAGAAAAACCCCCAGCUACGGAAAGGCUGUGCAAUCCACCGCGGUGAUAAGGUAUUUCCGUCAAGUGUGACUAACACCUACGAACGUACAAUCUGAGAAUAACUCUGGUGGAGGCGCUAGAGGAAAGGGGUUAAUGGAAAUAAUGUUUUCAUUUGGAACAAUAUAAAUCCACAACUGGCAUUCCAUUGGCCCAUGACCUCCCCUUCCCCAAUCCCUGUUCAAGUCAUUUGCUAGUGUAAUUGAAACCUUCUUUGAGAGUCUUUAGAUUUCAUUUCAUGUUUUGUGGACAACGCAGCUAAAAGACAUUUACCAUCCAUCUUUCUUAACAUUCCUAAUCUAAAUAGAAGACCCAAAUCCAAGGCUGUGCCUUGAUGGAUAGCUCACCUCCCUGCACUGUAGAGCUUAAAAAGGUCCUAUCACUGUGCUCAGAGCCCUCACAAAAAACACACAUUCAUACUCAUUUCCCGUUCUCCCACAUAACUGAGAAGCAUAUAUUCAUUUCUUUAAAUGUGCUUUGAAAGAAAAGGAAUUUCAACAAAAAAAAAUUUUUUUUAACAAAAGAACAGGGGAGAAACAAAUGGCACAUUAAAUUCAGGUGGGAAAGAGGAUCACUACAUGACAGGCUGGAAAUACUGCGUUGUGGAAAAAGGAUUUGCUGCUCCUGAAUCAAACAUGGAAGAUUUGUCUCAGAGCUUUUCUUGUAUGUGAGGCUGCUUAAUUCAGGGCUCUGUCUGUUAAUGUCUGUCACAGAUGAAAGGGGCAGCAGAGGUGUGUACUGGCUAGCCAAUGUCACCAACCUGGGCAGUAGGGAAGUGUGCUGGCCAGCCAAUGUCGCCAACAUGACCCUCCUAAGGGAAGUUCUUCUAAAGGUCAUCUCAAUUAUUCUCUUAUACAUUUUCAGAACUGUGUCUUAUAUUGAAUGUUUGCCUUGGAAUGAAUACA